ACAGAUCUUUCCCCAGCUGCAGUUCCGGCUGACAGAUCUCAGGCUCAUGGAAAUGACACUCCAUGCUGUGUCACUGCACCAAUAUAAGUUCUUUCACUAUUUCUCACUUUUCUUACAGAGACAGCAGCCCUGUGUGAACAUCCCCUGAAUGGUGCAGGACAGACACAUACAGCAAGCACCAAAAUAUUCAUACAUGGUUUUCAGAAGCACUUGACCUGCCUCUGCUUUCUCUUGAAAUCUGUGAUAAGCCUUCCAUCCUAGAGCAUAAACUCAAACAGACUUUGGAAAGGGAGGUGCAGCCCUGCUCCCCAAUGAAGCAAUGGAUUGUAACAAAGCAGCCCAGGGGGACAAGGGGAUGUGAACUGUGGCCAGCUCGUCUCACGUUGUCCUUGCUGCUCCUGCCUGCUCUCGGCGAGGAUGCUUCACCGUCUCUUCCUCCUCCAGGGGGAGACAGACUCCACGAUCUUCUCCAAUGUGAGUCCUUCCCGUGCCUGCUGCUCUUCCCGAACUGCUCCAGAGUGGAUCCCUUCCACAAGGUGCAGUCCUUCAGGAACAGACUGCUCCAGUGUGAACCCCUCCAUGGGAUCACAACUCCUGCCACAAACCUGCUCCAUUGUGGGCUCCUCUCUCCAUUGGUCCAGAGAUCUUGACAGGAACCUGCUCCAUCACAGGCUUUUCUUGGGUGUCACAGCCUCCUUCGGGCAUCCACCUGCUCGGGUCUGGGGCUCUCCAGGAGCUGCAGGUGGAUCUCUGCUCCCCCUGUUCCUCCCUGGGCUGCAGGGGCACAGCUGCCUCACCAGGGGCUGCACCAGGGGCUGCAGGGGAAUCCCAGCUCUGGUGCCUGGAGCACCUCCUGCCUCCCCAUCUUCCUCCACUGACCCUGGUGUCUGCAGGGUUCUUCCUCUCACACAUUCUCACUCCUCUCUCCAGCUGUAGUUGAGCAGGUGGUUUUUUACCUCUCUUAGCUCUGUUAUUCCUGAGGUGCCAAAGGCCUCCCCCUUGCCAAGCAGGAGGUCCGUCUUGGAGCCAGUUGACAUGGUUCUGCUGGACACGUGGGAAGCUUCUAGAAGCUUCUCACACCUCUAGCCUGUCCACUGCCAAAACCUGCCAUGCAAAUGAAACGUAUUUAUAUACAACUUAUCAUUUUGUCCAAAUUUAAAUAAAGUAGUAAAUCAAAUGGUCUGAAAAUUACUGGGAGUUCAGUGUGUCCUCAACUAGACAUCAAAGAAUUAGAUAAGAGAAAGGGUUAGGAGGGAUUAUUUUAUCCAGAUGCUGGAGAUUUCAUAAUAUUCUUGGGCUUCUGUGCUUUAUUACCCUAAUAAGACAGUUGUGUCAGUAGAAUAAAAUUAUUUUCUUAAUUUUAUAAUCUUCUUCUUUACUAAAAGCUGUUUUACACAG